rnacentral:rRNA from 1 species
UACGGGGGGGGUAAGCGUUGUUCGGAAUUACUGGGCGUAAAGGGCUCGUAGGCGGCCAACUAAGUCAGACGUGAAAUCCCUCAGCUUAACUGGGGAACUGCGUCUGAUACUGGAUGGCUUGGAUUCGGGAGAGGAAAGCGGAAUUCCAGGUGUAGCGGUGAAAUGCGUAGAUAUCUGGAGGAACACCGGUGGCGAAGGCGGCAUUCUGGACCGACAUUGACGCUGAGGAGCGAAAGCCAGGGGAGCAAACGGG